rnacentral:rRNA from 1 species
CUACGGGAUGCAGCAGUCGAGAAUCUUCCGCAAUGGACGAAAGUCUGACGGAGCGACGCCGCGUGCGGGAUGAAGGCCUUCGGGUUGUAAACCGCUGUCAGUGGGGAGGAAAUGCAUCAGGGUUCUCCCUGGUGUUUGACCGAUCCGCAGAGGAAGCGCAGGCUAAGUUCGUGCCAGCAGCCGCGGUAACACGAACUGCGCGAACGUUAUUCGGAAUCACUGGGCUUAAAGAGUUCGUAGGCGGCCUUUCAAGUCGGGUGUGAAAUCCCUCGGCUCAACCGAGGAAUUGCGCCUGAUACUGUUGGGCUUGAGGGGGAUAGGGGUGAGCGGAACUGAUGGUGGAGCGGUGAAAUGCGUUGAUAUCAUCAGGAACACCGGUGGCGAAGGCGGCUCACUGGAUCUCUUCUGACGCUGAGGAACGAAAGCUAGGGGAGCGAACGGGAUUAGAUACCCCGGUAGUC